rnacentral:rRNA from 1 species
UGGGGAAUUUUGGACAAUGGACGCAAGUCUGAUCCAGCCAUGCCGCGUGCGGGAAGAAGGCCUUCGGGUUGUAAACCGCUUUUGUCAGGGAAGAAACGCUCUGGGCUAAUACCCUGGGGUAAUGACGGUACCUGAAGAAUAAGCACCGGCUAACUACGUGCCAGCAGCCGCGGUAAUACGUAGGGUGCAAGCGUUAAUCGGAGUUACUGGGCGUAAAGCGUGCGCAGGCGGUUAUGCAAGACAGAGGUGAAAUCCCCGGGCUCAACCUGGGAACUGCCUUUGUGACUGCAUAGCUAGAGUACGGUAGAGGGGGAUGGAAUUCCGCGUGUAGCAGUGAAAUGCGUAGAUAUGCGGAGGAACACCGAUGGCGAAGGCAAUCCCCUGGACCUGUACUGACGCUCAUGCACGAAAGCGUGGGGAGCAAACA